AUACUACUCCCUCCGUCCGAAAAUACUUGUCAUCAAAAUGGAUAAAAAGAGAUAUAUCUAGAACUAAAAUACGUCUAGAUACAUCCCCUUUUAUCCAUUUUGAUGACAAGUAUUUCCGGAUGAAGGGAGUAUAUU
rnacentral:pre_miRNA from 1 species